rnacentral:rRNA from 1 species
CAGUCGCCGCGGGAAUACGGAGGGUGCAAGCGUUAAUCGGAAUUACUGGGCGUAAAGCGCACGCAGGCGGUUUGUUAAGUCAGAUGUGAAAUCCCCGAGCUUAACUUGGGAACUGCAUUUGAAACUGGCAAGCUAGAGUCUUGUAGAGGGGGGUAGAAUUCCAGGUGUAGCGGUGAAAUGCGUAGAGAUCUGGAGGAAUACCGGUGGCGAAGGCGGCCCCCUGGACAAAGACUGACGCUCAGGUGCGAAAGCGUGGGGAGCAAACAGGAUUAGAUACCCGUGUAGUCCCUGUCUCUUAUAA